rnacentral:rRNA from 1 species
UACGUAGGCAGCAAGCGUUGUUCGGAGUUACUGGGCGUAAAGCGCACGUAGGCGGCUUUGUAAGUUAGAGGUGAAAGCCCGGGGCUCAACCCCGGAAUUGCCUUUAAGACUGCAUCGCUUGAAUCCAGGAGAGGUGAGUGGAAUUCCGAGUGUAGAGGUGAAAUUCGUAGAUAUUCGGAAGAACACCAGUGGCGAAGGCGGCUCACUGGACUGGUAUUGACGCUGAGGUGCGAAAGCGUGGGGAGCAAACAGG